AUGCCUGUACCAUAACCGACACAGGUGGGUAGGUAGAGUAUACUAAGGGGCGCGAGAUAACUCUCUCUAAGGAACUCGGCAAAAUGACUCCGUAACUUCGGGAGAAGGAGUGCCUUAUUUAUAAGGUUGCAAUAACAAGAUCCAAGCAACUGUUUAUCAAAAACACAGGUCUCCGCUAAGUCGUAAGACGAUGUAUGGGGGCUGACGCCUGCCCAGUGCCAGAAGGUUAAAGAAGUUGGUUAGUGUAUGCGAAGCUGAUGACUGAAGCCCUGGUGAACGGCGGCCGUAACAAUAACGGUCCUAAGGUAGCGAAAUUCCUUGUCGGGUAAGUUCCGACCCGCACGAAAGGCGUAAUGAUUUGGAUACUGUCUCGGAGAGAGGCUCGGUGAAAUAGACUUGUCUGUGAAGAUGCGGACUACCUGCACCAGGACAGAAAGACCCUAUGAAGCUUUACUGUAACUUGAAAUUGGAAUUGGACUUUGCUUGCGCAGUAUAGGUGGGAAGCGUUGAAGAUAUUCUUGCGGGAGUAUUGGAGCUAUCAGUGAGAUACCACUCUUGUAAUGUUAGAUUUCUAACUUUGAACCAUAAUCUGGUCAAAGAACAGUUUCAGGUGGGCAGUUUGACUGGGGCGGUCGCCUCCCAAAUGGUAACGGAGGCGUACAAAGGUUUCCUCUGAACGGAUAGAAAUCGUAUCUAGAGUGUAAAGGCAUAAGGAAGCUUGACUGUGAGACCUACAAGUCGAGCAGGGACGAAAGUCGGUCUUAGUGAUCUGACGGUACUGAGUGGAAAGGCCGUCACUCAACGGAUAAAAGUUACUCUAGGAUAACAGGCUGAUCUCCCCCAAGAGUUCACAUCGACGGGGAGGUUUGGCACCUCGAUGUCGGCUCAUCGCAUCCUGGGGCGGUAGUACGUCCCAAGGGUUGGGCUGUUCGCCCAUGAAAGCGGUACGCGAGCUGGGUUCAGAACGUCGUGAGACAGUUCGGUCCAUAUCCGGUGUAGGCGUUAGAAUAUUGAGAGGAGCCUUCUUUAGUACGAGAGGACCGAGAAGGACACACCGCUGGUGUACCAGUUAUCGUGCCAACGGUAAACGCUGGGUAGCUAUGUGUGGAGUGGAUAACCGCUGAAAGCAUCUAAGUGGGAAGCCCACCUCAAGAUGAGUAUUCUCACUACUUUAAGUAGGUAAGGUCACGGGCAGAACACCCGUUUAUAGGCUUU
rnacentral:rRNA from 1 species